rnacentral:rRNA from 1 species
GUGGGGAAUAUUGCGCAAUGGGGGAAACCCUGACGCAGCGACGCCGUGUGAGGGAAGAAGGCUUUCGGGUCGUAAACCUCUGUCAGAAAGGAAGAACCUCCCAAGUCCGAAUAGGGCUUGGGACUGACGGUACUUUCAAAGGAAGCACCGGCUAACUCCGUGCCAGCAGCCGCGGUAAUACGGAGGGUGCAAGCGUUAAUCGGAAUCACUGGGCGUAAAGCGCGCGUAGGCCGCUUUGUAAGUCGGACGUGAAAGCCCUCGGCUCAACCGGGGAACUGCCUUCGAUACUGCGAGGCUUGAGUCCUGGAGAGGGUGGCGGAAUUCCGGGUGUAGGAGUGAAAUCCGUAGAUAUCCGGAGGAACACCGGUGGCGAAGGCGGCCACCUGGACAGGUACUGACGCUGAGGCGCGAAAGCGUGGGGAGCAAACAGGAUUAGAUACCCGGGUAGUCC